AUGAAGAUUACCUCCUGUCUUCUCUAUGCUCACAAGAGAUAUAGCACACCUGCUAUUGAAUCAAGAUAGCUUACGGCAGUAAUAAAUUUUGAUUAUUAUGUGAAGUACGGUGUAUGGGUAAAAGAUAAUGCACUCUUCCAUGUAGCAGUAAUAUAUAAGUGUAUAACUAUAUAAUAACUCAGAGUUUAUCACGUAGAAAUAACUUUAAUAGUAUUUAGAGUGUAUUGCAAGCAACCAUCUUUUAGUUAUAAAACCAAAGUAGGAUUCUCUUUACGGUAUUGAAGUAUGCAGAAGAAAAUCUCAUUUCUGUUGGGAUGACUUUCCUUUCCUCUUCUCCAUGUAAAAGAAACCAGCCAAUGAGACUAUGGAGAAAGCAGAAAAGCAGACGGAUGCAAUAUCAAGUGACACGUGGCGACCCGUGAUUGCUUGUAUCUUGAACAAGUUGUUAACCUUAUGAGCAUCUGUGUUCUGGCCGUAUGCCACCUCUUCAUCCUGAGCAUUAAGUGCAUAAACCCUCGCAAAAUAUACUCCAGAAGGUAUAUCUUUCUCGACAGUCCACGUAAAUGAGUUGUUUGAAGCAGCGUAUGG
rnacentral:lncRNA from 1 species